rnacentral:rRNA from 1 species
GACGAACGCUGGCGGCGUGCUUAACACAUGCAAGUCGAGCGGAAAGGCCCUUCGGGGUACUCGAGCGGCGAACGGGUGAGUAACACGUGAGUAACCUGCCCCAGACUUUGGGAUAACCCUCGGAAACGGGGGCUAAUACCGGAUACGACACAGCUUCGCAUGGGGUCUGUGUGGAAAGUUUUUCGGUUUGGGAUGGGCUCGCGGCCUAUCAGCUUCUUGGUGGGGUGAUGGCCUACCAAGGCGACGACGGGUAGCCGGCCUGAGAGGGCGACCGGCUACACUGGGACUGAGACACGGCCCAGACUCCUACGGGAGGCAGCAGUGGGGAAUAUUGCACAAUGGGCGGAAGCCUGAUGCAGCGACGCCGCGUGAGGGAUGACGGCCUUCGGGUUGUAAACCUCUUUCAGCAGGGACGAAGCGUAAGUGACGGUACCUGCAGAAGAAGCGCCGGCCAACUACGUG